rnacentral:rRNA from 1 species
GCCUAACACAUGCAAGUCGAGCGGUAAGGCCCCUUCGGGGGUACACGAGCGGCGAACGGGUGAGUAACACGUGAGCAACCUACCCUCAACUUCGGGAUAAGCCUCGGAAACGGGGUCUAAUACCGGAUAUCACUUCCUGCUUCAUGGUGGGGGGUUGAAAGUUCUGGCGGUUGGGGAUGGGCUCGCGGCCUAUCAGCUUGUUGGUGGGGUAAUGGCCUACCAAGGCGUCGACGGGUAGCCGGCCUGAGAGGGCGACCGGCCACACUGGGACUGAGACACGGCCCAGACUCCUACGGGAGGCAGCAGUGGGGAAUCUUGCGCAAUGGGCGAAAGCCUGACGCAGCGACNCCGUGUGCGGGAAGAAGGCCUUCGGGUUGUAAACCGCUUUCAGGAGGGACGAAGCCACUCGGGUUAAUAGCCCAGAGGGUGACGGUACCUCCAGAAGAAGCCCCGGCUAACUACGUGCCAGCAGCCGCGGUAAUUC